rnacentral:rRNA from 1 species
GUGCCGUGACGGCGUCUUACCAUGCAGUCGAACGAUGAACCGCUUUCGGGCGGGGAUUAGUGGCGAACGGGUGAGUAACACGUGGGCAAUCUGCCCUGCACUCUGGGACAAGCCCUGGAAACGGGGUCUAAUACCGGAUAUGACUGUCCAUCGCAUGGUGGAUGGUGUAAAGCUCCGGCGGUGCAGGAUGAGCCCGCGGCCUAUCAGCUUGUUGGUGAGGUAGUGGCUCACCAAGGCGACGACGGGUAGCCGGCCUGAGAGGGCGACCGGCCACACUGGGACUGAGACACGGCCCAGACUCCUACGGGAGGCAGCAGUGGGGAAUAUUGCACAAUGGGCGAAAGCCUGAUGCAGCGACGCCGCGUGAGGGAUGACGGCCUUCGGGUUGUAAACCUCUUUCAGCAGGGAAGAAGCGAAAGUGACGGUACCUGCAGAAGAAGCGCCGGCUAACUACGUGCCAGCAGCCGCGGUAAUACGUAGGGCGCAAGCGUUGUCCGGAAUUAUUGGGCGUAAAGAGCUCGUAGGCGGCUUGUCACGUCGGUUGUGAAAGCCCGGGGCUUAACCCCGGGUCUGCAGUCGAUACGGGCAGGCUAGAGUUCGGUAGGGGAGAUCGGAAUUCCUGGUGUAGCGGUGAAAUGCGCAGAUAUCAGGAGGAACACCGGUGGCGAAGGCGGAUCUCUGGGCCGAUACUGACGCUGAGGAGCGAAAGCGUGGGGAGCGAACAGGAUUAGAUACCCUGGUAGUCCACGCCGUAAACGGUGGGCACUAGGUGUGGGCAAAAUUCCACGUUGUCCGUGCCGCAGCCAACGCAUUAAGUGCCCCCGCCUGGGGAGUAC